rnacentral:rRNA from 1 species
GGGUCAGUAGGUUGGUCGUGCCACCGGUACGUACUGGUCACACUGAUUCCUCCUUCCUGAAGAACCGUAAUGCCAUCAAUUUGGUGUUGCGGGGAAACAGGACUGUUACUUUGAAAAAAUUAGAGUGUUUAAAGCAAGCUAACGCUUGAAUACAUUAGCAUGGAAUAAUGAAAUAGGACGAUCGAUCCUAUUUUGUUGGUUUCUAGGAUUGACGUA